UACGUAGGGGGCAAGCGUUGUCCGGAUUUACUGGGCGUAAAGAGCGCGCAGGCGGUCGUUCAAGUCGAGUGUGAAAGCCCCCGGCUCAACUGGGGAGGGUCACUCGAUACUGAUCGACUCGAAGGCAGGAGAGGGAAGUGGAAUUCCCGGUGUAGUGGUGAAAUGCGUAGAUAUCGGGAGGAACACCAGUGGCGAAGGCGACUUCCUGGCCUGUUCUUGACGCUGAGGCGCGAAAGCUAGGGGAGCAAACGGG
rnacentral:rRNA from 1 species